rnacentral:lncRNA from 1 species
CUCAACAUUUUUUCACCCAUAAAACAACAGCAAAAUAAUGCGCGGCAGCAGUAGAGGACGAAGAGGUAUGCCGACCUUCCCGUCACUUUACUCUCCUUGAUGAUUUAGUCAGCACUCACUCGACCUUGUUUCACUCUCAAGCCUCUAAACCAAUCAAGUCUACAACCACCCAAGUUGCCCAGAUCGGGAGAGAGUCACCCACCACCUAGGAAAGAGAAGUUGCAAUUGUUCAUGAGUUCUUGAAUCUAAAAUUUGAGAAGACCAAGUUCGACUUCGUAAACCCAAUUUCGUUUUCCCCCCAAUUUCGAUUUCAAAACCCUAACCUGGUUUGGAUUUGGAAAUUUGAUUGGGUUAUGUAGUUCUAGAUUUUGUUGGUUUUUUUUUUUUUUUUUUUUUUGAAUAAGUGGUUUUUUCUUUUCUGGGUUAUGUAGUUUUGCAAGAUGGUGUGAUGAUUCUCAGCACAAUAGUACUAUCUCACCAAACAUGGUUCAAAUUAGUAUUAAGUAAGCCUACUCAAAUGAAAGUAGGACAAAUACUAAUAAUAAAGUGACCCAGAAUUGUCCUGGGUUCCAAACAUGCACUGAGUGGCCAAACAAGGACAACAACGGAACAUGGAAAACUAGAUGACCAUAUUGAGACACCAGGAGUCAUAUUACUUGUAUAAAACUAUUGAAUUAAGCAUGAAUCUAUUGGGGCUUAACCUAGACACCUAGUUAAUGCACAGCAUUUCAGCAAAGAUUGCGUAAAUAUAGACCAUAACUAUGUAUGAAUCUUUAAAAUAAAACAAAUGCGAGUUCUAUAUACCCAGAAUGAUAUGUCCGUCACCCAGAUAUGUACUUAAGAUGUAUAAACUUACAAGGAUUUUGGGCUAGAAUGUUAUGUCGAACACCCGGAUUUUUGUAGCCCUUCACAUGUAGCUCCAACUCAGUCGUCAGUACGACAUGUUAAUCUCUCGCUAUAGACCUAAGGCAUGAAAAAUGACUUUAGAGCAUUCAACUCAUGAUGUCCUGUGGUCUGAAUGAUACUACGAAUUCAAGUACCAAUAUCUAUGGAGCACAUUGCUUCAAACAUGUAGAGCAGACAGGGUGUGGGUUACCGACUAUUAGUUUUCUGCUCUCCACAGUCUCAUCCUUGCAAUGAUGAGAACAUGAGUGGCACCAAAAAUGUUGUUUCCUUAAAACAAGUAAUCAGGUUUGUAAAUAAUUUAAAUGAACAUGCAAUCAUAAAGCCUAACAAGCAUUAGAGGCAUACAACACUGAGUCUACAUUUCUCUACAGAAACA